CAAGGACCCUGGCCUGCCCGGGUCCUCUGGGAAUGACGCAAGAAAGUCAGGGUCGACUUGACUGCAGACAACACUCACGCGAAGAAAAAACCGGGGAAUGACGCCAAGUGGGACAACCAAAGGUGUUCAGUGCCUCCACAGCAGGCAGAGAGCUAAAAGAAGAAAAGACACUGCAGGGAGAAAAUAAUUUUCCUGGUUGGAAAAGAUCAGAAGGGAGAUUCAUUUAGGAACUCAAGACCACAAGUGAUUGGCAAUGUGAAUUGGACUAUUAUAAAUGAAGGUGCUGUGAACAUUCUUGACUUGAAGUACAGCUACUCUGGUGAGCAAUUUGGCAAUGUUGUUAGGUUGCAGGUAUGUAUACUCUAUGACCCUGGAAUGCCACUCCCAGGGAAAUGUGUUAGAG